rnacentral:rRNA from 1 species
CCAGCAGCCGCGGUAAUACGUAGGGAGCGAGCGUUGUCCGGAAAUUACUGGGCGUAAAGGGCGCGUAGGUGGUCCAUUAAGUUACUGGUGAAAGUUCGGGGCUUAACCCCGUGACUGCCUGUAAUACUGGUGGACUUGAGUGCAGGAGAGGGGAGUGGAAUUCCCAGUGUAGCGGUGAAAUGCGUAGAUAUUGGGAGGAACACCAGUGGCGAAGGCGGCUCUCUGGACUGUAACUGACACUGAGGCGCGAAAGCGUGGGGAGCAAACAGGAUUAGAUACCCUGGUAGUCCACGCCGUAAACGAUGAGUGCUAGGUGUUGCGGGUAUCGACCCCUGCAGUGCCGUAGUUAACACAAUAAGCACUCCGCCUGGGGAGUACGGUCGCAAGACUGAAACUCAAAGGAAUUGACGGGGGCCCGCACAAGCGGUGGAGUAUGUGGUUUAAUUCGACGCAACGCGAAGAACCUUACCAGGGCUUGACAUCCUCUGAAAGCCGUAGAGAUACGGUCCUUAGUCUUCGGACUAACAGAGAGACAGGUGGUGCAUGGUUGUCGUCAGCUCGUGUCGUGAGAUGUUGGGUUAAGUCCCGCAACGAGCGCAACCCCUAACAUUAGUUGCCAGCGAGGUAGGUCGGGAACUCUAAUGUGACUGCCGUUGACAAAACGGAGGAAGGUGGGGAUGACGUCAAAUCAUCAUGCCCCUUAUGUCCUGGGCUACACACGUACUACAAUGGCCGGUACAGACGGAGGCGAAGCUGUGAAGCGGAGCAAACCUGAGAAAGCCGGUCCCAGUUCGGAUUGUAGUCUGCAACUCGACUACAUGAAGUCGGAAUCGCUAGUAAUCGCAGGUCAGCAUACUGCGGUGAAUACGUUCCCGGGCCUUGUACACACCGCCCGUCACACCACGAAAGCUGACAACACCCGAAGCCGGUGACUUAACCGCAAGGAGAGAGCCGUCGAAGGUGGGGUUGGUGAUUGGGGUG